GCGGCGUUAGCUCAGCAGAUUAGAGCGAAGGCCUCCGAAGCCUUAGGUCGGGAGUGCAACUCUCUCACGUCGCGCCA
rnacentral:tRNA from 1 species